rnacentral:rRNA from 1 species
AGUCGAGCGAACAGAUAAGGAGCUUGCUCCUUUGACGUUAGCGGCGGACGGGUGAGUAACACGUGGGUAACCUACCUAUAAGACUGGGAUAACUUCGGGAAACCGGAGCUAAUACCGGAUAACAUUUGGAACCGCAUGGUUCUAAAGUGAAAGAUGGUUUUGCUAUCACUUAUAGAUGGACCCGCGCCGUAUUAGCUAGUUGGUAAGGUAACGGCUUACCAAGGCAACGAUACGUAGCCGACCUGAGAGGGUGAUCGGCCACACUGGAACUGAGACACGGUCCAGACUCCUACGGGAGGCAGCAGUAGGGAAUCUUCCGCAAUGGGCGAAAGCCUGACGGAGCAACGCCGCGUGAGUGAUGAAGGGUUUCGGCUCGUAAAACUCUGUUAUUAGGGAAGAACAAAUGUGUAAGUAACUGUGCACAUCUUGACGGUACCUAAUCAGAAAGCCACGGCUAACUACGUGCCAGCAGCCGCGGUAAUACGUAGGUGGCAAGCGUUAUCCGGAAUUAUUGGGCGUAAAGCGCGCGUAGGCGGUUUCUUAAGUCUGAUGUGAAAGCCCACGGCUCAACCGUGGAGGGUCAUUGGAAACUGGGAAACUUGAGUGCAGAAGAGGAAAGUGGAAUUCCAUGUGUAGCGGUGAAAUGCGCAGAGAUAUGGAGGAACACCAGUGGCGAAGGCGACUUUCUGGUCUGUAACUGACGCUGAUGUGCGAAAGCGUGGGGAUCAAACAGGAUUAGAUACCCUGGUAGUCCACGCCGUAAACGAUGAGUGCUAAGUGUUAGGGGGUUUCCGCCCCUUAGUGCUGCAGCUAACGCAUUAAGCACUCCGCCUGGGGAGUACGACCGCAAGGUUGAAACUCAAAGGAAUUGACGGGGACCCGCACAAGCGGUGGAGCAUGUGGUUUAAUUCGAAGCAACGCGAAGAACCUUACCAAAUCUUGACAUCCUUUGAAAACUCUAGAGAUAGAGCCUUCCCCUUCGGGGGACAAAGUGACAGGUGGUGCAUGGUUGUCGUCAGCUCGUGUCGUGAGAUGUUGGGUUAAGUCCCGCAACGAGCGCAACCCUUAAGCUUAGUUGCCAUCAUUAAGUUGGGCACUCUAGGUUGACUGCCGGUGACAAACCGGAGGAAGGUGGGGAUGACGUCAAAUCAUCAUGCCCCUUAUGAUUUGGGCUACACACGUGCUACAAUGGACAAUACAAAGGGCAGCUAAACCGCGAGGUCAUGCAAAUCCCAUAAAGUUGUUCUCAGUUCGGAUUGUAGUCUGCAACUCGACUACAUGAAGCUGGAAUCGCUAGUAAUCGUAGAUCAGCAUGCUACGGUGAAUACGUUCCCGGGUCUUGUACACACCGCCCGUCACACCACGAGAGUUUGUAACACCCGAAGCCGGUGGAGUAACCAUUUAUGGAGCUAGC